ACUCCUACGGGAGGCAGCAGUGGGGAAUAUUGCACAAUGGGCGCAAGCCUGAUGCUGCCAUGCCGCGUGUGUGAAGAAGGCCUUCGGUUGUAAAGCACUUUCAGUUGUGAGGAAGGUGGUGUCGUUAAUAGCGGCAUCAUUUGACGUUAGCAACAGAAGAAGCACCGGCUAACUCCGUGCCAGCAGCCGCGGUAAUACGGAGGGUGCGAGCGUUAAUCGGAAUUACUGGGCGUAAAGCGCAUGCAGGUGGUUUGUUAAGUCAGAUGUGAAAGCCCGGGGCGUCAACCUCGGAACUGCAUUUGAAACUGGCAGACUAGAGUACUGUAGAGGGGGUAGAAUUUCAGGUGUAGCGGUGAAAUGCGUAGAGAUCUGAAGGAAUACCGGUGGCGAAGGCGGCCCCCUGGACAGAUACUGACACUCAGAUGCGAAAGCUGGGGAGCAAACAGGAUUAGAUACCCUGGUAGCACAGAG
rnacentral:rRNA from 1 species